UAAGGAAUAUUGGUCAAUGGACGCAAGUCUGAACCAGCCAUGCCGCGUGGAGGAUGAAGGCCCUCUGGGUUGUAAACUUCUUUUAUCUGGGACGAAACCCAUCCAUUCUUGGGUGAUUGACGGUACCAGAGGAAUAAGCACCGGCUAACUCCGUGCCAGCAGCCGCGGUAAUACGGAGGGUGCAAGCGUUAUCCGGAUUCACUGGGUUUAAAGGGUGCGUAGGCGGGCAGGUAAGUCAGUGGUGAAAUCUCCAAGCUUAACUUGGAAACUGCCGUUGAUACUAUCUGUCUUGAAUACUGUGGAGGUGAGCGGAAUAUGUCAUGUAGCGGUGAAAUGCUUAGAUAUGACAUAGAACACCAAUUGCGAAGGCAGCUCACUACACAGC
rnacentral:rRNA from 1 species